rnacentral:rRNA from 1 species
AGAACGAACGCUGGCGGCAGGCUUAACACAUGCAAGUCGAGCGCCCCGCAAGGGGAGCGGCAGACGGGUGAGUAACGCGUGGGGAUGUACCCAAAGGUACGGAACAACUCCGGGAAACUGGAGCUAAUACCGUAUGUGCCCGAAAGGGGAAGAUUUAUCGCCUUUGGAUCAACCCGCGUCAGAUUAGCUAGUUGGUAGGGUAAUGGCCUACCAAGGCGACGAUCUGUAGCUGGUCUGAGAGGAUGAUCAGCCACACUGGGACUGAGACACGGCCCAGACUCCUACGGGAGGCAGCAGUGGGGAAUAUUGGACAAUGGGCGCAAGCCUGAUCCAGCCAUGCCGCGUGAGUGAUGACGGCCUUAGGGUUGUAAAGCUCUUUCGACGGGGACGAUAAUGACGGUACCCGUAGAAGAAGCCCGGCUAACUUCGCGCCAGCAGCCGC